UACGUAGGGUGCUAGCGUUGUCCGGAUUUAUUGGGCGUAAAGGGCUCGUAGGCGGCUUGUCACGUCGGGUGUGAAAGCCCGGGGCUUAACCCCGGGUCUGCAUUCGAUACGGGCUGGCUAGAGUGUGGUAGGGGAGAUCGGAAUUCCUGGUGUAGCGGUGAAAUGCGCAGAUAUCAGGAGGAACACCGGUGGCGAAGGCGGAUCUCUGGGCCAUUACUGACGCUGAGGAGCGAAAGCGUGGGGAGCGAACAGG
rnacentral:rRNA from 1 species